UGCCUGGUUCCAGUCUGCCCUGAGCUGGUGGAGGCCAAAAGCUACAGCCAGUGUGUGCCCUGCUCCGAGAUCUAAACCUCUACCACGAACUGCUCCAAGGAAACUUCCCAGCUGAGUUUUCAACAUUUGAGAAAUAUCUUUCAUAAGGCUUCUGCUUAAUGUUCAAACUUUUGGAGGGUUAAUCUUCUCAUUGCAUUUGAACAAUAAAAUGGACAGGUAGUUUUUGCUCAAAUCUGAAGAAAAUGAAAUUCUUCCCCAGGCUGGGAAUUUGUUAUAAGUUUCCAUAUAAAAAAAAAAGAAAAAAAUCCCCCACCUUUCUACCAACUAAGUCUGAAACUCCUUGAAAUAAGGGCUAGUAAUGGAAGUGCUGACAGUAUCUUAACUAGAGCAGCGUGAAAGGAGUGAUAUAAUAGUUUAUUUCAGAAAUGAGAGAAUGAACAAAGCCACAAGGAAAAACCUCAAGGCCAUGGUAUUUGCAUGAAGCAUGCUACACAUAAUGUACCCUAGAAGUGUUUGAAAGAGAAGCUGACCCCGUAUACUUAC